CAAAGACAAAAGGAGAGGAGGGUUGACACGUGAAACUCCUUGAGCAGAUGACCCUUGAGAAUUGACUUGUUUUAAAUGCUGUUUUCGCGUCAGCAGGAGAGACAGAGAGAGAGGGAGCGAGAUGUACUCUGUCUGUCAGCCAUAUCGAUGACAUGACACAACCUGAAUGUGAGAGUGAGGACAAAAAGACGGAGCGAGGGAGAAAAAAGAAGGUUGACAGGCAAGAUGGGGGGGAAGAGAGAUGAAGAGUGAGCGAGAGGGAGGAAAAGAGGGAGAGGAGGAAAAACGAGAAAGAAGACAGAUGGCUCCUAUUCAUUAUGCAGUAUCUGUCUACUCUCACUUAAAUUUAGUUCUCUCCUCCUCUGCAUCUCAGCAUCGUACUCGUGUCCUGCCUUUGUUUGUAACAUUUAACCAACGACGAAUCGAUCCUGCUGUAUUAACAGAUUAGAUUGAGAAGUUAAAUCCAGCGGAGUGGCAAAUGCAGCAGAGUUCAGACAGCCAGAAACCAAAGUGGGUUUAUCCUCAACUCGAGGAGGGUGUCAAUGUCGUGGGCUGCAUCCUGAGAAGCUGCAAAGACAGAGACGACGUGAUGAGGAGACGGACAGGAGGGCAAGAUUUUACUAUUUAGGAAAAGCUUCCUUUACAUGAGAAACAACAUUUUCCACUUAAUAUACUUCAUUCAUCUGCACAGUAGUGUCAGUGUUACCACGAUGAUGGCAGUGCUGCUGGCCUUGUGAAAAAAAUGUUGUUAAUCAAUUAAUCAUUUAUCAAACCAAAAUGCCAAAUAUUCUCUUGUUCCAGCUUCUAAAAUGUUUGGAUUAACUGUGUUUCUGUAUUUUUUUAAAUAUCAUUUCAGACUGUUGGUUGAACAAAACAAAUGAUUCCGAUAUAAACAAAUACUAUAAAUAUAUUAUAAAUAUUCAUUUAUAUGUCAUUGUGGUGUGGUGUUGUGUUGUCAGGGUGAAAUGUAGAGCUUAGAUGUUUCCUCAUGUUUUUGGGAUGUUUUGUGUAAAGCAACUGUCUAGCUUUGUGUCAAAUUGUUUGUGUUUCUGUGAUGUUUUUAUUCUACUUCAUGUGAAAACGGACUGUAGCACUGUGCCCAAGACAAAUUUCACUUUGGGGACAUUAAAGUUUUCUCUAACUCUAAACCAGGGAACAAUCAGUGCCUUAUAAAGAGAACAAUCUGACACUGUAAAUACAGAUUUGUUAAGACAGUCAAUUCGGGGGCUCCCUGGAAGCUGAGAUCAAAUCCAGCCCGGGCCCUUUGCUGCAUGCGAUGUCUUUCCUAUCUCUCUCACUGCAUCUGUCAUAAUAAGAGCAAAAAAAAAAAAAAGACAGAAAGUAAUGCCCCAAAAAAUAAAGCAGUCAGUAUAGUGGUGUGAAACUUCAGCAGCCGAAAGCAAAAUCCGCAAGAUAUCAGCACCUAUAUCACUUAGGAAGGAAACCCUGUCUGCAACACCAAGGAGGGGAGAUAUCAGUCAGCAGAAACCAACAAGAAAAUGGCUUAAAGUUACAGAAAAAAAAGCAGAAAGAGGAAUCAAAUGAUUUGUAUAGUAGCACAAGACGAAAGGCUUUUAAAAAAAAAAACUGCUGAAAUAAACAUCCAAUAUUAUCUACAGCUGCAGAGAAGAUGAUUUUCAUGAAAAGAGGGAGCAAAGGCGUCUUUUAUGACAACAGCCUUCAUAACAGCAAGAGUUGGAAUGACUGUUGCAGCAGGUCAAAGACUAAUGGAGGAAAUAAAAUGAGAGGACUGUGCAGCAAGUCGGCCUGAAUGACUGUGCCAGUUGAGAAAAGCAGAUAAUCAUUGAAGGAGACAGUUAAAACAGAACGAGCAACAGUCCCUUUCAAUUUGUCAAAUAACUCCUCAUGAAGAGAGCAGCGGUAGCUUUCAAUAGCAGGAGCUGGAUAAUUAUGUGAAAGAGACAUAUGGGCAGGAAACAGGGUAUGAUCGCGGGGCUUCCUCCAGAUUUCCACAGUGGAUACUCCGCAGCAGCUCACCGCCUUCAAACGUAGGAAAUACGCACUCUUUGCUUUAGCCAAGCCACUUUCACAUAAUGCCAAAUUCAUGGGGUUCAGACGUAAAUCUAAAUCCAAAGGAUAGAGCGUCUUUGGAAAUAAGCCAGCUCCGGCACAUAGGCCUCAUCAGUGUCAAGGGGAAAGAUUUAAACUGACACAUCUGUGAAAUGACGCAAGAAUGCCAGGAUAUUUUAAAUACAAGUAAGACACGGGACCAAAUUCAGUUAAACAAGAGAAGCCGUAUCUUUCUUUUUUUUUUCAAUCGCAAAUAUUCUUUAAAUUCUAUAUUUAGAAAUAAAACUAUACAUCUGUUAACAUUUGGCUUUUUAGUGCC